rnacentral:lncRNA from 1 species
UGAGAGCCGCCAACGCGCGCUCCCGCUCCGCCUCCUCUGCCGCACUAUCGGGGUUUGAGGUCCCUGAUCCAGCCGGCACUAUCGUGACUAGCACGGUCGCCGCGGCCACACCCUCGGCCGCACUCGGCACCACUGCAGGAGGCAUAGGGUGCACGGCCUCCACGGGCGCCGCUGCCGCCGCCUGCUAUCGUUCCAAGGCCUCCUGGAGCCUUUGGAUUUGCUCCCCUUGGCGCUGAACGGAUUCUGCCUGGCGCUAAACGGAUUUCGCCUGCUGCCGCACUACGCCAAUAAGCGCGGCCAUCUGCUCCCGAAGCUCCCCGUCGCCACCUGCUCCGGGUUGCACGGGAGCCGUACUUGACUCCUCGGCCAUAGACCUCGUCCGCGGUCGACCACGAGGCAACUUAGGUCGUCCACGAGGCGGCAUUGCUUCCUGAAAUGAAGCAACUCACGUUAGUUACUUAGACAACAUACUCGAUUAUACCCAAUCCGGCGAAAGCAUAUAAGUGUAUUCAUUUUCAUUCCAAAGCGUCAUGUUGUCGGCCGCCGAUCACAACACAAGGAAAAGAAAACAAAUAACAACUUAAGUUUAGUCCCUAACC